rnacentral:RNase_P_RNA from 1 species
AGGUGAACAGGCGAUCGCAUGCCCUUCGGCAUGAGGAAAGUCCGGGCACCGCAGAGCAAGGGUGCCGGCUAACGGCCGGCGGAGGCGACUCCAGGGAGAGUGCAACAGAGAUAUACCGCUGAGGGCAGGCCUUCGGGCCCUCUCUCAGUAAGGGUGGAAAGGCGAGGUAAGAGCUCACCCACGGGCCCGGUAACCUGCCCGUGCUGUAAACCCCACCCGGUGCAAGAUGCGGGAAUCGUCGGCUGCUCGCUGCAUUUCCCGCGAUCGCUUGAGCCAUUCGGUAACGAAUGGCCUGGAUAGAUGAUCGCCCAAUACAGAACCCGGCUUAUGGUCACGCUC